UACAGCAUAUGUCGCAAAAACCAAAAUUGUAAUAUAAUACAUCGUAUUUAUGAUGUUAUAAUCAUAUAUAAACACAUAUUUGAGUGAUUUACGUUUCCAUUUAUGUUUUGAAAACAAAUUCUUAUUAGAAAUAAGAUUUCUUACGAACGCGUCAAAAGUAAAUAUACGCAACAAAAGUAGUUAGUCUGUUAUGAAAGACAGUCGGGUAAAGUGGUUUUCUAGAAGCAGUAAUUUCUGAAUAAGCAUGAAUUCAUUCAGUGUUGAUUAAUUUGAAAUAUUUAGUGAAAAAAAGUGAAAUACUUACGAUAGAUAGAUUUCAAUAUCUAGAUAUUUUAAAAAACAAAUUUAAUUGCAAAUGUUACAAAAAUUCAGUUGCUAGAUUCGUGGAUCAUUCAGCAAAAUCGAGACUCUAAACAUACAACAAAGAUUGUUAAGGAUUGGUUGCAAAAAAAUGCUCCAAAUUUUAAAAGACUUUUAGUUAAUUCUUAAUUAAUCUUAAUAGGAUACUAAUCAAAUUAUUGGCAAUCUUUAUUCAAAACAGAUUGUUAAAUUGUAUCUUGAACUUGAUAUAUCAUGUGAAAGGUUAAUAGAAUGAUCGAACAUUUCAUUCGAGUUCCAUAUUUCAAUGCAUACUCUUGAUAAUGUCCAUAUAAAUAUUAAUAUUAACAUUAAUUUUCAAAUAUUAAUAUUAAUGAAGUUUUGAUACGCUAUUGACUGAAUAAAAAAACUCGCUUCAAGAUGGAUAAAGACUACCAGCGAUCCAAGUUCAAGGUUCUGGUGUACAUAAUGCGUCAAACGAUCAAUCAUAUUCCAAUGAAUGACCGACAAGAAAUAUGAAAUGCGCAAAAACUUGGUGCUUAAUAAACUGAGUCCAGAACAAA